CACCAGUGAACAAGCAUCUAUAGAUUUUGCUUGGUUAAAGGUUGGGCUAAAAAUGGAUGUCCUGCAGGCAGGCCCUGGCAGGUGCUCGGUUUUAUUAAUCUGCACUGGGAGAAAUAUAGUCUUGGGCCAAAUCAUAAGAGUAAAACCCAAGGCCAUCGUGCAAAUUCAAAUAUGCCAUUAUCUGUAACCCCAGAAAGGAAACAAAGAA
rnacentral:lncRNA from 1 species